UGGGGAAUUUUGGACAAUGGGGGAAACCCUGAUCCAGCCAUCCCGCGUGUGCGAUGAAGGCCUUCGGGUUGUAAAGCACUUUUGGCAGGAAAGAAACGUCAUGGGUUAAUACCCCGUGAAACUGACGGUACCUGCAGAAUAAGCACCGGCUAACUACGUGCCAGCAGCCGCGGUAAUACGUAGGGUGCAAUCGUUAAUCUGAAUUACUGGGCGUAAAGCGUGCGCAGGCGGUUCGGAAAGAAAGAUGUGAAAUCCCAGAGCUCAACUUUGGAACUGCAUUUUUAACUACCGGGCUAGAGUGUGUCAGAGGGAGGUGGAAUUCCGCGUGUAGCAGUGAAAUGCGUAGAUAUGCGGAGGAACACCGAUGGCGAAGGCAGCCUCCUGGGAUAACACUGACGCUCAUGCACGAAAGCGUGGGGAGCAAACAGG
rnacentral:rRNA from 1 species